GGCUCAGUGGUCUAGGGGUAUGAUUCGCGCUUCGGGUGCGCGAGGUCCCGGGUUCGAAUCCCGGCU
rnacentral:tRNA from 1 species